GGUGCUGCUACACGCUACUGAAGGCAGAUGAAGUCCAGUUUGGUUUCAGAGGGCUGACUGAGCAGGUGCUGCACUGACGUCUGCUAAUGAUGAAGGUGUUUCCAGUGAAAAUGCAGCCGGUCAGUAAUCAGGGAGACGGGACUGGGAUCCUCUGCAGACGCUCACAAACACAAAAGAA